rnacentral:lncRNA from 1 species
AGACUCUCGGCCACCGGCCACCGGCCACCGGCCCCCAGUGAUUAGGGCAGGUGCAAAAGUCGUGCCACAGAUGCCGCGACGAGCUCGGCGAGCAACAGCCUUGGAGACAGUGUUGGUGUCCAACACGGGAAUGUUCCAGAGACCAGCACCGGGGAUAAUCUCCGAGAUCAGGGCAGGCGGGGCUGGGAUUACGUGUCUCCCUCGCGAAAUUGAGUCAUGAAACUUUUAUUAAAGGAUGUAGUUUGUCACCGCCAAGAAAACAAGGCAAUUCUGGGCAGCCGGGGCAUCCAUUUUCCCAAGACUUCUUUGACAGAGGGCUGCCUCCUUGGCAAACAACAGGGCAGAAGGUCUGGGGGCAGGAGAAGGCCAUGGAGGAGCCCAGGAAAGCCCAGGGCCGGCCACUUCGGGGCAGAGGUGAUCAGGAAGCCCCCCCACCUACAACAGAUGCAGCGGGAGAGAACUGAGCCCAAACUGCUCCGCAAGCCUGGGCUUGAAUUCCUGCUCCGCCAUGAAACAUCAGCUGAGCGCCACCUACCCUCCCCCCCCCCCCCCAGUCCAUCCCGGACUGCUGCUGACCAGCCGACACCAGGCUUCAGCGCUAUGGGGAGCACAUCCCAACAGCACCAAGGACCACUGUUUAUUGAGCAACUAUUACAUUCCAGGUUCGGAGCUGAGUACUCUACAGCUAUCACCUUCCGUGGUCCUUCAACAUCCCUGGGAGGAACUCACACUCACUCUACUUUAUAG